GCGUCUUCUCAUUGCAUCCUCUCCUUUCUAAGCCUCUCAAGCUCCUUCGCCAUCUGCCAGUGCUCCAGGGAAAGGCUCUUCUCACCAAAGCUUGAGGCUGUAAUCUGAGCCAUUGUCAGCCAUCUGCACAUCAGCGUGCAACCCAAGCUCCUGUCGUUGCGCAUGGCACUGACCAUUUCAUCUUGGAUCGUCUACAGUUAA
rnacentral:rRNA from 1 species